rnacentral:rRNA from 1 species
CCUACGGGAGGCAGCAGUGAGGAAUAUUGGUCAAUGGGCGCGAGCCUGAACCAGCCAAGUCGCGUGAGGGAAGACGGUCCUAUGGAUUGUAAACCUCUUUUGUCGGGGAGCAAAAGACGCCACGCGUGGCGUUCCGAGAGUACCCGAAGAAAAAGCAUCGGCUAACUCCGUGCCAGCAGCCGCGGUAAUACGGAGGAUGCGAGCGUUAUCCGGAUUUAUUGGGUUUAAAGGGUGCGCAGGCGGAAGUUCAAGUCAGCGGUAAAAUUGAGAGGCUCAACCCCUUCGAGCGGUUGAAACUGGUUUUCUGGAGUGGGGGAGAAGUAGGCGGAAU